rnacentral:lncRNA from 1 species
UCCGUGUAACUCAUCCCCUCAUCAUCACAUAUAUCUAUAUAAAGAGGUCUUUCUUUCUCUCAAGUCAUCCAUUGCAGCUCUCAAGAACAAAAGAAAAAAUCAGAGAAUUCCAGAUCCUUCUUCUUCUCUACAAAUCACUCACCUGAUACUCCAGCAAGACUUCCGAAUAUAAUUGAUAAUGAUCUCCGUUGUAAUCAUCACUGGUCUACUAGUGGAGUACACAGCAGCUCUCGCAAAACUCACCGCAGGGAUUAUUCCGAGACGGCAAGGAGACAGCAACGUAGUACGAGUUGGUGGUUUCGUCUUGUCUUGUCCUUCUCCGUGGAGUACUAAUCGUUCGUCGCCGAUACCAGACUUUUCUUCUCAUCUAGUAGAUUUCUGAUAUGUGACGACUUUUAGAGAUUUUUAUUUUGGAUUUUGUCAUCUUUUUUUAAUCUCUUCUAGAAGAGUGACGGCGGAGAUUUUUCCCUCGAGUGUCUCUAUGCCCUCUCUUCCUCUUUGUAAAUCUGUAUCGAAAUAUAAUAGAAAUUCACUAGUAAAAAUCUGUCGCACAGCCAUUAUAGUGCCACGGUAAAACCGUGGCUAAAUUAAAAAAGCCACGAUAAGUGUGUUGCUGAGUUAUUAUAUUAAAAAAAAAAAAAAAACAAAAACGCAAAUGUGUAUAGUUGUGCGCGUACGACGCGGUUGUUUUGUCUUUUUUAAAUAUAAAAGAUAAUUAAAAGUGAGUCCGUGUAACUCAUCCCCUCAUCAUCACAUAUAUCUAUAUAAAGAGGUCUUUCUUUCUCUCAAGUCAUCCAUUGCAGCUCUCAAGAACAAAAGAAAAAAUCAGAGAAUUCCAGAUCCUUCUUCUUCUCUACAAAUCACUCACCUGAUACUCCAGCAAGACUUCCGAAUAUAAUUGAUAAUGAUCUCCGUUGUAAUCAUCACUGGUCUACUAGUGGAGUACACAGCAGCUCUCGCAAAACUCACCGCAGGGAUUAUUCCGAGACGGCAAGGAGACAGCAACGUAGUACGAGUUGGUGGUUUCGUCUUGUCUUGUCCUUC